rnacentral:rRNA from 1 species
AUUGAACGCUGGCGGCAGGCCUAACACAUGCAAGUCGAGCGAGCGGCGGACGGGUGAGGACUGUAUGGGGACUGCCCGUUAGAGGGGGAUAACUACUGGAAACGGUAGUUAAUACCGCAUACUAUCGGAUAACCCAUAUGGGAUUAGCUAGUAGGUGAGGUAAUGGCUCACCUAGGCGACGAACCCUAGCUGGGCUGAGAGGAUGAUCAGCCACAAUGGGACUGAGACACGGCCCAGACUCCUACGGAGGCAGCAGUGGGGAAUAUUGGACAAUGGGCGAAAGCCUGAUGGAGCCAUGCCGCGUGUAUGAAGAAGGUCCUAGGGUUGUAAAGUACUGUCAGUAGGGAGGCGUUACCGACAGAGGAAGCACCGGCUAACUCCGUGCCAGCAGCCGCGGUAAUAC